rnacentral:tRNA from 1 species
GCCGCUAUGGCGCAGGGGUAACGCGUCGCACUUGUAACGCCAAAGACUACAACCUCGUCUGAAUUACAUGCGAAGAUCACAAGUUCGAAUCUUGUUGGUGGCA